rnacentral:rRNA from 1 species
AUUGAACGCUGGCGGCAUGUCUUACACAUGCAAGUCGAACGGCAGCACGGGUGCUUGCACCUGGUGGCGAGUGGCGAACGGGUGAGUAAUACAUCGGAACGUACCUUAUCGUGGGGGAUAGCGCAGCGAAAGCUGUGCGAAUACCGCAUACGCCCUGAGGGGGAAAGCGGGGGAUCGCACGACCUCGCGCGAUUAGAACGGCCGAUGCCGGAUUAGCUUGUUGGUGGGGUAAAAGCCCACCAAGGCGACGAUCAGUAGCCGGUCUGAGAGGACGAUCAGCCACACUGGGGCUGAGGCACGGCCCAGACUCCUACGGGAGGCAGGAGUGGGGAAUUUUGGACAGUGGGGGCAACCCUGAUCCAGCAAUGCCGCGUGAGUGAAGAAGGCCUUCGGGUUGUAAAGCUCUUUUGUCAGGGAAGAAACACCGGCUCUAACACAGUCCGGGAAUGACGGUACCUGAAGAAUAAGCACCGGCUAACUACGUGCCAGCAGCCGCGGUAA